rnacentral:precursor_RNA from 8 species
AUCCAUUUCUACCUUCUUUAACCUCCCAAAUAUAUAUAUAUAUGUACGUAUGUGUAUAUGAAUGUAUACGUAGAUAUAUAUGUAUUUUUGGUGGGUUUAAUUUUCUUCAUCUGUUACU